UCUCUAGGACUUGGCGCUUCUUUGAAAGCCAAUCUUAUUCUAGCGGAAUGCCAGACGCCUGUAGAGGAGUGUGCAAAGCUCUCAUUAUUUGGAGCACGUGUACAGACGUCGCUUGUCUGCAGAAUGACUUCCAGAGCAGGAAAACGGCUAACCAAGAAGACGUCUAGUUCGAAUUUCGUAUAUGACACCAAUGACAAUAGCCAUGAGAUCACAGUAGUUUACGACUACGAUGGGGUACGUAAAGGAAUCAAUGAGGCCUGGAAGCUCACAGACAGAGCUGGCAACCAGCUAGACAUGUCCGAACUAGCGCUUCAGCAUCAUGUUCUACCGCCAAACGAUCGCUAGGUUUCAGUUCAGAGAAUGUUUCAAGGAGAAAGAAACGGAAGCAGACUGGGAAGGAUUUAGGUAUCAGACAUGCCAGUGAGUAAAUUCUUCAGAUAAUAUCAUAUAUAAGAAAUUAACUAAAUGGGUUUUCUUCUUUGGAAUGUGCAGAGAGCAGAGAAUCUUGCCCUGAUUUAGAAAUUAGGGACAGUGAAUUGGAAGAGACGGUUGGCAAGUCUGGCUUCACAGAAAAUUUAGUUCAGCAACUUUAUCUCGAUCUCAGAGUCACUCAUGUAGUGGAUGUCAGAAAGUGAAGGGACAGCUGAGAGACAUAAAAACCACGUUGUUGUUAGUUGGCACUGAAUUCGCUGAGAUAAAAUCGCAACUCAGCACAGUGGCAGAAGUCACAUCUAACACUUUAGCAAUUCUUUCUACUCACAAGGCAAAGAAGAGUGCAAACACACCAAGUCAAAUGACAGCAAGCUCUAGUGAAUCUCCACAGAUGAUACAUCUUGGCUGCGAGGAGGCUGUUGCUGCUUCUCCUUCUUCAAUAGUAGUUACAGAAACGAAAUCUCCAAAUGCAGUUAAAGUUGGUGAUGAAAGGCUAUGUGUAAUGGUGCCAUUCUCACAACUCCGAACUGUCAGCUGCCAACUUUACAAGUUGGGAGUCGUGAUCCCACAAGGCAACUGACUCCUGUAAAGUUGGAUGCUUUACGAAGUGACUGUGCGAUGAAAUUUCCUCUUCUGCCAGGAGAAGCCUUGAAAGACGUGAGGAGCAAAAUUAAGGAAGUCUUGGCAGACAAGUGUCGAUAUCAAAAGGCACGAAGGGCAGCACCAGGUGUCUAGAUUGAUGCUUAGUGUACAUGUUACAGUGUUUUUAGUGUUGUUUAGUGUUGUUAGCUUGUGUGUGUGUGUGUGUGUGUGUG